AUUCACUUGAAAAAUCACGUAGAAUGGUUUCAAAUGUCAAAUUGAAUAUUUUACGUGACGAAAAUGAAUGUUAUACGAACAUCCCCUAAAAUGAAUAGAGUCAUCACAUAAAGUUUACGUGAAUUGACCAAACGUCAAACAAUCUACGUGAAUUUCCAGUGUGAAAAAUUCGAUUUUGAAAAUGGCGAGCAGUGGCCCUCGAAGUUAUGAAAGUUUCCAUGUGUUCAACUGGACCGAGUGCCUGCGUGAGUCCGGAAGUUUACCCGCUCCUGCCGAAUGCUUCAAACAGGCCGUCGGUAUGCAGCUAGAGACACUGGAACCAUGUAAUGCGACUUCAACCUGCAUCGGUAGUGUUGUGGGAGUUCUUGGAUCUCGACUUCGGUUGGAUGGCAGUGAAAACAUAAACGAUUUCUGGAGGCUUGUCGAUUUAAGAUACCACGACGUUAUUAGUUGCUUUUUAAGCUAUUGGAAUUAUAUGACAAUUUUCUGAAAUAAAUGUUUUAUAUUUCA